rnacentral:misc_RNA from 1 species
GAAGAAAAGGAGCUGAUGAACUAGAUGCACAACGAGGUUCAUUCAUGAGCUCCCAAGCAAAAAUUGCUGGUUCAUCAGAAUAUCUAACUCCACUCAUAGAGUUCUUUCUCAUCAAAAUAGCCUGCAAUGUACAGGUGAGGAAUUAAAGAAUCAUUACAAUGCAGCAAGAAAAGACUAAUUGCUAAUUCUCUCACGCCAGAGUUAUUAGAAUUUAAUAAAACCUGAUCUAGCGAAUGAUAUGUGAACCACAAAAUGCAACUUGUACCAUACCCGAUUACUUCAACUAAUCAACUUUCUCAGAAAAAUGAAAACACAAUAUGUAGAUGAUGAAGAACCAUAAAACUGAAUUACAUUGGACUCUCUUAUUGAGUCCUAAAAUUCGGUUAUGCACAAUGCUCUUGCUUACCCUAUGAUUUAAAAAUAAAUAAAUAAAUAA